GGCCUACAUCUGAAAAAAAUCACAUCAGCAACAUGUACAUUUGGGAAUCAGCAUGGCGUGGUGGUUAGAGUGUUGGACUGAGGACUUUCAAGAUCUGGGUUCAAGUCCACACUCAGCUUUAAAGCUCACUGGGUGACUUUGGACCAGUCAGUCCUGCGCAGGCUGACCCACCCUACAGGGCUCUUGUGAGAAGAAAAUGGAGGAGGAAGACUAGUAUUUUUGGUCAAAAUGCAUGCACAGACUCCCUGAUUCACCCUUUGGUCUGCUUCUUCAUUUUUGGAAAUGUGCACCAUUCCUGUAAAUCUUCAAAGUGACUCAUCCGGCUGCUCUUGCCGGGGGAUCGAAUUCACUGCUGCGUUUGCUCCAUGGGAAGGCUGCAUCAGUGGCUGGUGGUCUGAAAGAGAACAGGACAGAAGGAACAGCGACUUCUGGACACGCAGCUUGAUCUUGCUUCCGCCCUGCCCAAGGGUUCACACACAGGACAGGACAGAGCACGAACAAGAGAAGCUAGUUUCCCAGCCAAGAAACAGAUUUGAGCAGGAAGUGAUCUCAGCAGGCCUCUCCUUCACUUCUGGAGUUAAUUUUGCUUGAGCCAAAAGUCGUAUGAGGACACAGCUCACAGCAUAACAUUUGAAAUAUGGCAAAUCUGUUCAUGGGAUCUACGUAGAGUCACUUGCAUUGCAUUGGAAAUAAGCGCAGAAAGAAUUUUGCCAGACCAAGUUCGCCAUCCUGCACUUUUUGAAGAUAAGGUGACUCAUAAUCUUUGCUAGGGUUUCAGGGGACCUCUCUUCCAUUAAGUUGUCUUCUCUGAGAAUCUAAGGACUCUGAAGACUAAGGCUAAGAAUCUGACGACUCUAAGAAUCGUAACUAUCACAAUGUGAUAGUCAGCAAUGGAAGGAGGCAACAAGCAGGAAACAGCGGGGAGCUGAAAGCAGCUAGACAGAAGCUACAUUGCCCACUGGGUGUUGAUACUUCAGUGUAAAGUGAAGUUUCCCUAGUGUGAAGUAGCAACAGAGGGAGGUGACAAGGAAGAAGGUGAUGUGGAAGCAGAUGUGGCUGGAGAAGGAGUGGAUACUUUUACUUCAGUACUAAGUGAAGCAGUCUUCAAAGGCAAGUUCUGAAAUGGAGAGUAAAAUUGACAUUGACAAGAGAGGAAUACUAGUAUUCUGGGCUAAAUCACUGAGAAUUGAUCUUCCACAACAACAAAAUUCCUUGGAAAUAAACAAACACAUAGCUAGAGAAAUUAAGUCCAUUUAGUGAUCCAGUAUGAGGAUAAGAUGGAGAUUCCCUCUGUAGCUGAAAGCCCAGCAGACAAAUUCCAAAAGGUUGCUGACACAGGGACUGAUGCAAGAAAAGUUCUGUUGCAAUGGUGUCUGGGAUAGUUGCCAGAACUGGUGGGAUGAGUUAUGAGUAACGAGGGGAGAGACAAGGCAUGGAAAGUAUGACCCUCCUUCAGAAGUACCAUGUGUUGUUCAGCAAACAGUCAACAGAUGGGAUGGUGGCUUAUCGGUAGGGUAUUGAUGUAUGAGCUUGCCUCUUCUGCGAAGUAAGCUGUCUCUGCCUACCUGGCACUUAUUUUGCAAAACUGUCCACAGCACGAUCUCCAAAUUUUAGAUGUACCCAGCAGCCAAAAAGGGUUAAGGGCUUCUGAACAAGGUGUUCUCUUGUGCAUGAAAUCUAUGCAUUGUAAUAAAUAGCCAUCAGGGAAGGAAGAGCAAUGCCAACUGAAGUGAGAACAGGUUGCUUUUAUCUUCUCUCUCCAGUGCAAGAGAAAGAAACUUGUCUCCCCACUCUGGUCCACAUCUAGGAUCCUUGGAGAAAAAGUUCCCAAUGACUCCAAUAGAAACUUGGAGCCUUGAUGUUCUAGCCUUGAUGGGGAUGGUGGUGAACUGACAUUCUAGUUUUGGGCAUGCCAGGGAAGGAAUGGAAAAUGUUUGCCUCCUAACGUGCUUUAAUGAAGAAACAUGCUCAUACAUAGGUGAAUCAAGAGGCCUGGUUGGGUCCUUCAUUUAGUAGCUGAACUGUGACCCUAGUGUGGGAAAUAAAGAUACUUUUAAGAUCCAGAUCAACCCCCUCAUCCUACAUUAGAGUAAAAAUGGGAAAUGGAAAAAAAAGUGUAACUGCUAAAGUAAUGUUUGUAUUGGUCUUGAGUACAUGUACAUACACAUACACAUUUACUUAUUUGUUUAUUAAAUCUGUAUCCUGCCCAUUAGCCAAAAUGGCUUUCUGGGUGGGUUACAAAAUAUACUAUAAUAAUAAUAACAACAACAUACACAGAGUAUUUUGGGGAGCUUGUUCUUACCAAAGCAGGAAACUGUCUCUAAAACAUUUCCCAUAUUCUCAGGUAAAGGUAGCUCCUUCUCCAACUUCUUUUGUGAUUGUUGCCUGAAUGAUUCACAACUAACUAACAGGUAAACCUGUUGCACAAGUCUGGUUUGUUUUUCAGACUUCUUCACCAACCUGGCUAAGAACCUGCUCAAACUUAUGGGAAAGCAGUUUGGUAGUUUCAUCUGGAACUGGUUUAGGAGUCUGACAUCAGAAACCUGACUGUACUUGCACAUUCAAAAAGCCCACAGCAUUACCAGAACUAUACGUGUGAGGACUGGUAACUAUUUAUUUAUUUACUAUCCUGCCUUUUUAACUCCAAGGAAUUCAAGGUGUCUUACACAAUCCUCUUCCUCUUCUGCAUGAGUGAAAUGGUGUAGCAUGGUGUUCUGCACCAGCCAGGGGUUGGACCCGAUGUUCUCCUUGGCCCCUUCCAAACUUACUGUUCUCAACAAGCUUGUGAAAUAGACUAGGGUGAGAAUUAGUGACUUACCCAAAGCUUCUUGGCUGGUGAGCUCCAUGGACAAAUGGGGGCUGAAACUGGACCCCCUGAAUCCCCAUCUGACACUCAAGCAACUAAACCACCCUGGCUCUCACCAUUACAAGUUGUGGUAGGUCAGAAGUGGGUAUGGAAUGGGGAAGGAGAGAGAGCAUGACUGAGAGCAUGCCCGACUUCUAUUGCCAUGGACGUUUAAUAGGGACAGACAAAAGGGUCAGGGGGAGAACGAGUGAGAAUUGCCACAGCUUUUUGAUAUCCUACUUUAGAGGUGCAUGGAAAUCACUGGUAUGAGGGUUGCCCAACUCCUAAAGGAUCCCCACUCUUGCUGCAGGAUUACCCACUGUUAUUGCCAAUAUUUAUUUAUUUAUUUAUUUAUUUAUUUAAAACAUUUCUAUGCCACCCCCAUCACAACAAAGCCUCGGGGCGGCUCAAAAAGAAUAC